rnacentral:tRNA from 2 species
GCUCCAGUGGCGCAAUCGGUUAGCGCGCGGUACUUAUAGACAGUGAUCUGCGCAGUAAUGCCGAGGUUGUGAGUUCGAUCCUCACCUGGAGCA